GACGAACGCUGGCGGCGUGCCUAAUACAUGCAAGUUGAGCGCUGAAGGUUGGUACUUGUACCAACUGGAUGAGCAGCGAACGGGUGAGUAACGCGUGGGGAAUCUGCCUUUGAGCGGGGGACAACAUUUGGAAACGAAUGCUAAUACCGCAUAAAAACUUUAAACACAAGUUUUAAGUUUGAAAGAUGCAAUUGCAUCACUCAAAGAUGAUCCCGCGUUGUAUUAGCUAGUUGGUGAGGUAAAGGCUCAUCAAGGCGAUGAUACAUAGCCGACCUGAGUGGGUGAUCAGACACAAUGAGACUUAGACACGGCCCAAACCCCUACGGGAGGCAACAGUAGGGAAUCUUCGGCAAGGGACGAAAGUCUGACCGAGCAACGCCGCGAGAGUGAAGAAGGUUGUCGGGUCGUAAAAAUCUGUUGGUAGAGAAGAACGUUGGUGAGAGUGGAAAGCUCAUCAAGUGACGGUAACUACCCAGAAAGGGACGGCUAACUACGUG
rnacentral:rRNA from 1 species